UACGUAGGGGGCAAGCGUUGUCCGGAAUUACUGGGCGUAAAGCGUGCGCAGGCGGUUGUGUAAGACAGAUGUGAAAUCCCCGGGCUCAACCUGGGAACUGCAUUUGUGACUGCACAGCUGGAGUGCGGCAGAGGGGGAUGGAAUUCCGCGUGUAGCAGUGAAAUGCGUAGAUAUGCGGAGGAACACCGAUGGCGAAGGCAAUCCCCUGGGCCUGCACUGACGCUCAUGCACGAAAGCGUGGGGAGCAAACAGG
rnacentral:rRNA from 1 species